rnacentral:rRNA from 1 species
GCAAGUCGAACGGAGAUUGUAGCAAUACGGUCUUAGUGGCGAACGGGUGAGUAACGCGUUGGUGACCUGCCCCGAAGAGCGGGAUAAUGGUCCGAAAGGACCACUAAUACCGCAUGUGAUCCCAAGGAUUAGCAGCUUGGGAUGAAAGGAAGCAAUUCGCUUCGGGAGGGGCCUGCGUCCCAUCAGCUAGUUGGUAAGGUAACGGCUUACCAAGGCGAUGACGGGUAGGGGACCUGAGAGGGUGGCCCCCCACAAUGGAACUGAAACACGGUCCAUACACCUACGGGUGGCAGCAGUAGGGAAUAUUGGUUAAUGUGCGAAAGCGCGAACCAGCAACGCCGCGUGUGCGAUGAAGGCCUUCGGGUCGUAAAGCACUUUUUGCAGGGAAGAGGAAGGACGGUACCUGCAGAAUAAGUCUCGGCUAACUACGUGCCAGCAGCCGCGGUAAAACGUAGGAGACGAGCGUUAUCCGGAUUUACUGGGCGUAAAGCGCGUGCAGGCGGCAUGGCAAGUUGGAUGUGAAAGCUCCCGGCUUAACUGGGAGAGGUCGUUCAAAACUGCCAAGCUUGAGAGUGGUAGAGGGAAGCGGAAUUCCGGGUGUAGUGGUGAAAUGCGUAGAUAUCCGGAGGAACACCAGUGGCGAAAGCGGCUUCCUGGCCCAUUUCUGACGCUCAGACGCGAAAGCUAGGGUAGCAAACGGGAUUAGAGACCCCGGUAGUCCUAGCUGUAAACGAUGUGAACUUGGCGUCGGCGGGUUUAAAUCCGUCGGUGCCGUAGCUAACGCGAUAAGUUCACCGCC